rnacentral:misc_RNA from 1 species
CCAUAAUUCCAUCCAAUUUCAGCAAUUGAUUCAUCAAUAACUCAAUCAAAUUAGGCACAGUUUUCUCUGCUACUUUCCCACCUUUAGUAAUUAUAGAUUCAAGGGCGGACACCUGGCCGGCGAGUCUAUCAACUUCCAGGCUGAUUUCUGAAAUGGAUUUUGAAGCCUUCUCCAUCUUGGCAUUCCUUCUCAUCUCAAGGAAACGUUUUUCUUGGCUAAUUGGGUCCUCAACGAGAACAAUUUUGGACUUGUCCUUCACUCCAGAUAUGUCAAGAAAUGCAUUUGAAUCCCUCUCCUUGUCUUUGUAAAUCAGCUUUUGGUCUUGAUGGUGCAGUCCUGUCGGCCCUGUCAACAUUUUCUUCAACUCCCCAAAUGU